rnacentral:tRNA from 1 species
UGAGCAGUAGCUCAAUUGGUAGAGCUCUCGACUGUUAAUCGAGUGGUUGUAGGUUCGAGUCCUACCUGCUCAG